rnacentral:tRNA from 2 species
GGGUCCGUGGUGUAGUGGUUAACAUGCCUGCCUGUCACGCAGGAGAUCGGCGGUUCAAGUCCGCUCGGACCCGCCA